UACGUAGGGGGCUAGCGUUGUCCGGAAUCAUCGGGCGUAAAGCGCGUGUAGGCGGUCCGGUAAGUCCGCUGUGAAAGUCGGGGGCUCAACCCUCGGAUGCCGGUGGAUACUGUCGGACUAGAGUACGGAAGAGGCGAGUGGAAUUCCUGGUGUAGCGGUGAAAUGCGCAGAUAUCAGGAGGAACACCGAUUGCGAAGGCAGCUCGCUGGGACGUUACUGACGCUGAGACGCGAAAGCGUGGGGAGCAAACAGG
rnacentral:rRNA from 1 species